rnacentral:rRNA from 1 species
UACGGGGGGGGCAAGCGUUGUUCGGAAUUACUGGGCGUAAAGGGCUUGUAGGUGGCCAACUAAGUCAGACGUGAAAUCCCUCGGCUUAACCUGGGAACUGCGUCUGAUACUGGAAGGCUUGAGUAUGGGAGAGGGAUGUAGAAUUCCAGGUGUAGCGGUGAAAUGCGUAGAUAUCUGGAGGAAUACCGGUGGCGAAGGCGGCAUCCUGGACCAUUACUGACGCUGAGGCGCGAAAGCUAGGGGAGCAAACGGG